UACGUAGGGUGCGAGCGUUGUCCGGAAUUAUUGGGCGUAAAGAGCUCGUAGGCGGUUUGUCGCGUCGGCCGUGAAAACUUGGGGCUUAACCCCGAGCCUGCGGUCGAUACGGGCAGACUUGAGUUCGGCAGGGGAGACUGGAAUUCCUGGUGUAGCGGUGAAAUGCGCAGAUAUCAGGAGGAACACCGGUGGCGAAGGCGGAUCUCUGGGCCUUACCUGACGCUCAGGUGCGAAAGCUAGGGGAGCGAACAGG
rnacentral:rRNA from 1 species